AAAUCAAGCGCAAAAGGGCAUCCGGAGGAUGCCUUGGCACUGAGAGGCGAUGAAGGACGUAGUACGCUGCGAAAAGCCACGGGGAGGUGCGAACACCCUAUGAUCCGUGGAUAUCCGAAUGGGGAAACCCACCACAUGUGUGGUAUCGCUAAGUGAAUACAUAGCUUAGCGAGGCGAACCCGGGGAACUGAAACAUCUCAGUACCCGGAGGAAAGGACAUCAACCGAGACUCCGCUAGUAGUGGCGAGCGAACGCGGACCAGGCCAGUCGUAGGAAUAAGGGAACCAGAAUCUGUUGGGAAACAGAGCCAUAGAGGGUGAUAGCCCCGUACGGGUAAAAUCUUAUUUUUAUGCAUGAGUAGGGCGGGACACGAGAAAUCCUGUCUGAAUAUGGGGGGACCACCCUCCAAGCCUAAGUACUCCUCAGUGACCGAUAGUGAACAAGUACCGUGAGGGAAAGGUGAAAAGAACCCCGAGUAGGGGAGUGAAAUAGACCUGAAACCGGAUGCCUACAAGCAGUCGAAGCUCUGAAAUAUGGGUGACGGCGUACCUUUUGCAUAAUGGGUCAGCGAGUUAGUGUAUGUAGCCAGCUUAAGCCGAUAGGUGGAGGCGCAGGGAAACCGAGUCUGAAUAGGGCGAUUUGAGUUACAUGCAUUAGACCCGAAACCGAGUGAUCUAGCCAUGGGCAGGUUGAAGGUACGGUAACACGUACUGGAGGACCGAACCCACCUCUGUUGCAAAAGCGGGGGAUGACCUGUGGCUAGGGGUGAAAGGCCAAUCAAACUCGGAAAUAGCUGGUUCUCCGCGAAAUCUAUUGAGGUAGAGCGUUGGAUGAUGACGGCCGGGGGUAGAGCACUGAAUGGGCUAGGGGGAGGCGACUUCUACCAAACCCAAUCAAACUCCGAAUACCGGUUAGUUUAGUCCGGCAGACACACGGUGGGAGCUAAGUUCCAUCGUGGAAAGGGAAACAGCCCUAACCGUCCGCUAAGGUCCCCAAGUUAUGGCUAAGUGGGAAAGGAAGUGGGAAGGCCAAGACAGCCAGGAGGUUGGCUUAGAAGCAGCCAUCCUUUAAAGAAAGCGUAAUAGCUCACUGGUCUAGAAUUAAGCCGUCCUGCGCCGAAAAUGUAACGGGGCUAAAGCCAUACACCGAAGCGACGGGUUUCAAGUGCUUGCACUUGGAGCGGUAGCGGAGCGUUCUCUAAGCCGAUGAAGAUGUACCUGUGAGGGGCAUUGGAGGUAUGAGAAGUGAGAAUGCUGACAUAAGUAACGAUAAACCAUGUGAAAGACAUGGUCGCCGAAAGUCCAAGGGUUCCUACGCAAUGUUCAUCAACGUAGGGUGAGUCGGCCCCUAAGGCGAGGACGAAAGUCGUAGUCGAUGGGAACACGGUUAAUAUUCCGUGACCUGGGAGAGAGUGACGGAGGUCGUAAGUUGUUUUGUCUUAAUGGAUUGACAAGGCGGCGAAGACCUUCCAGGAAAUAGCCCUCCCGUAUAGACCGUACCCGAAACCGACACAGGUGGAUAAGUUGAAUAUACUCAGGCGCUUGAGAGAAUGGUGUUGAAGGAACUCGGCAAAUUAACCCUGUAACUUCGGGAGAAGGGGUACCUUUGUUGAGGCAACUCAGCAAAGGUGGCACAGAAUUGGGGGUGGCGACUGUUUAUCAAAAACACAGGGCUAUGCAAAGUCAUAAGACGACGUAUAUGGCCUGACGCCUGCCCGGUGCUGGAAGGUUAAGAGGAGGUGUGAGAGCACUGAAUUGAAGCCCCAGUAAACGGCGGCCGUAACUAUAACGGUCCUAAGGUAGCGAAAUUCCUUGUCGGGUAAGUUCCGACCUGCACGAAUGGCGUAACGACUUCCCCACUGUCUCCAACACCAACUCAGUGAAAUUGGAUUCUCCGUGAAGAUACGGAGUACCCGCGGUCAGACGGAAAGACCCCGUGCACCUUUACUACAGCUUUGCAGUGGUAUUAGGGAAGACAUGUGUAGGAUAGGUGGGAGCUUAUGAAGCGUUGGCGCCAGCCAGUGUGGAGGCAACCUUGAAAUACCACCCUUGUGUUCUUUGAUAUCUAACUGAGGUCCGUAUAGCCGGAUCCAGGACCCUGCAUGGCGGGUAGUUUGACUGGGGCGGUCGCCUCCGAAAGCGUAACGGAGGCGCGCGAUGGUAGGCUCAGGUUGGUCGGAAACCAACUGAUGAGUGCAAUGGCAUAAGCCUGCCUGACUGCGAGACUAACAAGUCGAGCAGAGUCGAAAGACGGUCAUAGUGAUCCGGUGGUACCUUGUGGAAGGGCCAUCGCUCAACGAAUAAAAGGUACGCCGGGGAUAACAGGCUGAUCUCCCCCAAGAGUCCACAUCGACGGGGAGGUUUGGCACCUCGAUGUCGGCUCAUCACAUCCUGGGGCUGAAGAAGGUCCCAAGGGUUCGGCUGUUCGCCGAUUAAAGUGGUACGUGAGCUGGGUUCAGAACGUCGUGAGACAGUUCGGUCCCUAUCUGCCGUGGGUGUUGGAAUAUUGAGAGAAGCUGUCCCUAGUACGAGAGGACCGGGAUGGACGACCCUCUGGUGUAUCGGUUGUAGCGCCAGCUGCAUCGCCGAGUAGCUACAGGUCGGACGAGAUAACCGCUGAAAGCAUCUAAGCGGGAAACUCUUCUCAAAACUAGUAUUCCCCAUUAGAGCCGUGGUAGACCACCACGUUGAUAGGCUGGAUGUACAAGCGCAGUAAUGCGUGAAGCUAACCAGUACUAAUCGCUCAAUUGGCUUGAUUUUA
rnacentral:rRNA from 1 species